GGCCCAGACCUAGGAUGGAGAGAGAAAUCAAUAUGACUGAGGAGAGGGCCAGAAAGAACAGAGGUUCUGGGCUGGAGAGAUGACUCAGCGGUUAAGAGCACCCGACUGCUCUUCCAGAGGUCAUGAGUUCAAUUCCCAGCAACCACAUGGUGGCUCACAGCCAUCUGUGAUGAGGUCUGAUGCCCUCUUCUGGUGUGUCUGAAGACAGCUGCAGUGUACUUAUAUAUAAUAAAUGAAUAAAUCUUUAAAAAAAAAAAAAGAACAGAGGUUCUGACACCCGCCUGCCACCUCUUGCUUGGGAGGCCCCUGAGGUUGGCUCUGUCACAGUCUCGGUGCAUUCUAGACAGCCUGUGCUCUGCCCAAGUCCCCAUCAGGAUGCCUAGCCCAGGAAGACUAAAGUCAGCUCGGCCCCUCCACCAUGCAGGGCAAAGUCGACAGAGGCGUGCCUUCUACUAGAGAACUUUGGCCACAGCUAGUAGACAGCUCAGACAUGACUACGACCAGGGACAGUGAGCAGGUAAGGGAACACUCCUGGCUUGGGGGAGGGGGGUUUUGGGGGGGAAGACCUAAUGAGAGUUAGAAAAGAAUAGGUCAUUUUUAUCCCAGAAUUCAGCAGCCCAGACCUCAGACCUCCUCCCCCAGACCCCAGUUCCUUUACCUCCUCCCUCGAACCCGGGGAAUCCAGUUCCUUGACCUCCUCCCUCAGACCCUGGAAACCCAGUCCCUUGACCUCCUCCCUCAGACCCAGGAACCUGGUUCCUUGACCUCCUCCCUCAGACCCAGGAGUAAUGGCCCAUGUAUUUCUCUAUCAAACCAGAGCUCCAGAUUCCAGCCCUCCUCCUUCCUACCCAGUGAUCCUCCUUAACCUUCCUCCCUUAAACCCACAACUACAAGACUCCAACCCUCUUCCCUCAGACAGAGGAGUCCUAAUGCUUACUCUUUAGGAAUACCAGUUAGCUGGCUGUCCCUGCUACAGCCACCCCAGCCACACAGCUGGAAUACUUUCACACUCGGGAGUUUUCACUGUCAGCGGCUGAAGGACAGCCACGUGCUAGCUCACUGCACAUACUGUACACAUCCGUGCUGACCUUCCCCGGGGUUAGCAUGGAAUUCAGGACUGGUUGUGUACAGGAUGGUGGCCCCUUCCUGAUAUUUGGGCAUCAUGCUUUUCUCUGCAGACCAAGGAGAGGCAGGCAGCUGAGUCCCAAGUUUGAGGAAGACAGGAUAACAGUAUUUUCCUGCUGGGAGAGCUGAAAAGUGGCCAGUGAGGGGAGAGUCUUGCAGAAGUCAUUGAUCAAUGGGUGAGUCUCAAUGUCAUAUGGGUAAGUCUGGGCCAGGACACAGAUUUCCUUUCUUUCUUCCUUCCUCCCUUCCUUCCUUUCUUUUUUGGAGGGGAGAGGGCUUGAGGCAAGGUCUUACUAAGUUGCCCACUGACCUCAAACCCACUCUAAAACCCAGUGCAUGAAACUAGGAUCUUCCUGUCUCCGAUUCUGCACCAGACGGAAUGACAGGCAUGUGUGCCACCACAGCUGGCUCAGAUAAGAUCUUAUCUAUGUGUGUGUGUGCAUUGUACAUGUGUCUGUGGAGGUCACACUCAGAUGGCUUCCUCGGGUGACUUCCACCAUGUUUUUUGUUUGUUCGUUCGUUUUGAGACAGGGUCUUACUAUGUAGUCCUGGCUAUACUGGAACUUACUGUGUAGACCAAGCUGGCCUUGAACCUAGAGAUCCUCCUGUCUCUGCCUCCCUAGUGCUGGAGUUAAAGGCAUGUGAGCACAGCCCCAGCCCAUCCUGUCUUUUGAGACAGGGACUCUGACUGGGUCCUGGAGUUUGCCAGUUUGGUUCAGAUAUCUACAGACUCCAGCUCACCAACAACAGCAUUUAAGGACGAGUCACAAUGGGCAGUGGUGGUGCACACCUCUAGUCCCAGCUCUCAGGAGGCAGGGGAAGAUGAGUCUCUGAGUCCGAGGUCAGCCUGGUCUAGAGAGUAGUCCCAGGACAGCCAGGGCUACACAGAGAAACCCUGUCUAAAAAACCAAAACAAAACAAAACAACAAACGAACAACACCGGGUCAGCCAUUGCGGUUCAGCCUUGUCUGGCCGGCACUUCGCCAGUGAUGUCCAUAGAUGUGGUCUUAAUGGUGUGGACCCCAGGGGCUUCUGGGGUGAUCUAAGAGUGACGACCCCUCAUUGUCUCUGUGUGUGGUGACAUAAAGCUUGCUCAACACUGCCACCCUGCAUCAGAUACUCACAGUACCAGGGCAAGACAACAACCCUAGGUAGGGUAGCCAGCAUGGAGGCAGGAGAGCGGAGGGAACCAAGAAUAUUUGUUUCAUUUUAGUGGAGUAAGCCAGAAACGCUGGACAAUGCAGAAAAGAGAUGCUGAGAUGAAGAAAAGAUGGCGCUGGGGUUGCACUCAGUUGUAGAAUGCUUGCCUGGCACGCAGGACUCCCUGGGCUUAUUUUUUCCCCAGCAGCACACAAACCCUGCCAUCCCAACACUUGGGAGAUAAAGGCAGGAGGAUCAGGACUCCGAGGCCAUCCUUGACUACGCAGCAAGUUUAAGGCCAGCCUGGCCAAUAUAAGACCCUGUCAUAAGAUGGUGAUGAUGAUGAAAUGAGGGACCCGAGGGUGGUGGCACACACCCUUAAUCCUAGCACUCAAGAGGCAUGGGCAUGCAGAUCUCUGAGUUCAAGGCCAGCCUGGUCUACAUUGUGAGACCCUGUCUCAAAGAAAAAAAAAAAAAAAAAAGAACCAGAGGCCAAGAGAUGUCCAAAGAGUUAUAUGAUUAUAAAGAGGGGACCACUGAGAUGACUUAUUAGGUAAGGAUUCCCAUCAGCAAGCCUGAGGAUCUGAGUCUGAUACCCAGGACCCACAGACAAUAAAAAUGUAAUGGUGCAAGGAGCAGGGAUGGGCAAUACUAGGAGAGGAGGGAAAAGCAGAGAGUCAGAAAAGUUCUCAACUGGGUUUGGUAGCACAAACCUAUCGUCACAGAACUCAGGAGGCCAAAGUAGGAGGAUUGCAAGUUCAAGCUCAGCUGCAGCUAAAGAGAUCCAGGGGAAAGGAGGGAGAAAAGAUCACAUGGAUUUGAGGCACAGAAAAGGCAUUGUGCCAAGGUCCAGGGAUGAUGAGUGUGGUGACCUCAGAAGUGCUACCUUUGUCUUCCUGGAACAAUUCUAUAAGGCCAACAAGUCUUCUCUUGGCUCAAAGAACACCCCUCCCCCAUCCCAGAGACUAGGAUUUAAGUCUGAAGAAGGAGGGCAGAUUGCAGGGGGGCUGCAGGAAGGAAGUAUUAAAGGGUGGAAGCAGAAUUUGGAAGCUAAAGGGGAGCGUGCUGGGCAGGGUCCCACAUGAUUUGGCCCUGAACCUUUCAGAUCCCAGCAGCCCUAAACUACAUUACAGUGUCCAUCAAAGAUCAGGAUGGUCUUGUCAAAGCUCCACUCUCAAGUAAUUCUAACAGAAAGGUGUUGUCCUUUCUCAGAUAACAGUCGAACACCACCAGGCUAUCUCAUCAAAUUUCAGGGCUCCUCCCAUAGCCCCAAGCUGUCCUCAUCACAGGACAAACUCUCCCUCAGACUUGUAGAAGUUCAAGGCUCUAUUACAACCCUCAGGACCAACCCCUUACAGAGCCAUGAGGAAUCCUAACACAGCCCAGGGCUGUCUCCUGACCCAUCCCAAAUACAUACUCCCCUCUACAGCCUAGGACUGUCCUUGGUAAGUCGUAAGGCUGUUUCUUUCAGACUCAAGCAUCCCAAAGGCAGUCUAGGCUAGUCCUUGCAAGGAUAGUCUUUGUCAAACCCCAGCCAGCAGGCUCCUGUUUACUCCAGAAUUUUACUGUGUGGGCACUCACUACUAGGUAUUCAUAGCUCUAGGGAGGCUCAUGUUCAGAGAGUCUCCAUUACAGGGUAAAACUGUCUUCCUCAGAACCCAGAUCUGUCCCAUUAGAAUUGAAGAUUGGUCCAGUAUGGCAAAGCUGUACCCAUCCGAGACCACCACACUGUCAGAGCCUAGAUUCUUGUCCCUGUCUUAUCUCAAGACUGUCUGCAUAGAACAUUUUAUUAUUUCUGUCUGUCCCUAAGGCUUAAAGGCUUGUUCAGGAAUUCACCAGCCUGGAGUAAGAACUUCUGGUAAUCAGAUACAAGAUCACAGACUCUCAAGCAAGGCGGUGGUGGCCCAGGAGUUUAAUUCCAGGACUCAGAAGGCUGAAGCUGCAGAGCUGUGAGUUCGAGGCCAACCUGGUCUACAGAGCAACAGCUCUCCUCCAUGGCUCCCCACUUCUGACCUCGCUCGCGGUUCAGAUACCUCUCGCACCCGACUCGUGUCUACCCAUUUUGCCGCUCGUUAAAGCCCGGUACUCCUUUCCAAGGGGCCCAUCCGCCUCUGUGUGGG